UGUCUUUUUGGAUGCAAAGUGACCGCUAUAAGCUUGGUCAUGACAGAAAGAUAAAAUACUUCUAACCUCAUUAUUCGGGAUACACCUUCUAAUGAUUUGAUCAGGACAUUGCUUAAAGAGGUAUAGAUCAUCUCAAAUAAAAUACUUCACUUGGGCAAAGAAUUUGUGUCCGUCCUGAGUGGUCCAAUAAGAAAGGACUUUACCAAUGACUAAAUAGUUGAUAAUAUCGGCAUACUAUGGUUCAGUGGACACGGACAUGAGCUGUUCAUUAGAAAAAAAUUCAUUGAUGGGUGGUUCACU
rnacentral:lncRNA from 1 species